rnacentral:lncRNA from 10 species
CUAGGGGCCGCCACCCAAUUACUGUAAGGCCUCAGCAGAUGCUUAGGAAGCACCCAGCACUGAGUCCCGUGGCUGUCUCAUUUCAUGCUCUGGAGGAUGGAGAAGGAAAAACUUGGAAAAGAGGAAGACCCAGACUUGGAACAAAAAGGUCUCUACAGUCUGAGUUCUUCUGAUGCAGGGACACCAAGAUACACAGCUCCAGGGAGCACCAUUUACAUUUAACUCCUUGAGUCUCUGUGACUCAGGGAAGUAUGCAGGGUUCCUCUGAUACUCCCAGAGCCAGGUCAGUGUGGAGCUACAAGAGAACUUCUCUCCAAACCAGAUGCUGCCAGGGGCCCAGAGUAUCACAAAUUGUACUAUCCUCUAAUUAUCUGCUCUCAAGUUAGUCUAUUAUUGUAUCCAUAUUUGUACAGAUUAUACAAAUUUGUAUGGAUUGUAUUGUAUCCAUUAUUUGUAUCCACAGGACAAAAUCUGAUCUGGUUAAUUGAUGGUUUCAUUAGUUUAUGUCUUGCCUCACCAACUAAAAUGUAAACUCUAUGCAUGAGGACCACAUUCUAUGCUUUUUGGAACCAUACAGCACCUUCUACAUUGCAUUAGUACCCAAUACCCAUUUACGUGUUGACUGAUUCAUCACAGAGGUCAUUCUGAAUUGGUUGCUAUUGUGUGUGGCAUUUGGGUAACACUUGAGGAUACAGAAGAGGAGAGUUCUUCCAGGAGCAUAUGCAGAAACAGGAAAAUGUAUUUCCCAACAAAAUUUACUUCACAACAAAAAAAUUAGCCAUCUCUGUGCCUUCCACUUCAACACGCACCCACCAUUCAGUGCCAUCCUUUGCAAGUGUUGUUUUAAUGCUGUUAUUAAGAAUAGCUUAUUUUGCAUUUUCUCGCCAGUAAAAUGGAAACAUCCAGGCUUACUAGCCAUCUCCUGGAGAGACCACAGAGAGCAGAAAGAAAGUAUAAACUGAUCCCAUUUAUAAAGUAUAUUUAAAAUCAGAGAAUAGUGGGUAUGUUGUGGCUGAGCACACUAUUAGAUGGCUAAAACAUAUCAGGAAAGAAAUCCUCAAUUGUUCAUUUGUGCCAGGGUUGAAUGAGCUAUAUUUAACCUGAUGAUUAUUUAAUUAAAUAGUUC